rnacentral:rRNA from 1 species
UACGAAGGGGGCUAGCGUUGUUCGGAAUUACUGGGCGUAAAGCGCACGUAGGUGGCUUUGUAAGUUAGAGGUGAAAGCCCAGGGCUUAACCCUGGAAUUGCCUUUAAGACUGCAUCGCUUGAAUCGUGGAGAGGUGAGUGGAAUUCCGAGUGUAGAGGUGAAAUUCGUAGAUAUUCGGAAGAACACCAGUGGCGAAGGCGACUCACUGGACACGUAUUGACGCUGAGGUGCGAAAAGCGUGGGGGAGCAAACAGGG